UGCCGAACCACGUUAAUCAACUCGAUCGUAAAGUGUUUUUCCCCCCUCAUUCUCAGCUAUCACCAACAAAGAAAUACAAUACAAAAGAUAAAAGGAGACCAAGGAGAGUGAGAUCUAAAUCAUGGCAAAUAAGCAAAGCAUCUCCGUGGGACAGAACACACAGAUAGACAGACCGACGACAGGAAGACAGACAGGGAAUCAUAAGCUAUUUCCUUUACUUCUACUCAGGUAAUAAAAGAGUGGGGAGGCUCAACACAUCGGCUUUGCAUGGGAAACUGCGUACAAAAGAAGGCCGCACCUUAACAGCAUAUCCCCUCGCAUAUGCCCCAGCUUCCUUAUUCGACCCGUCGACAUCGGGAUAUCUCCGGCCUUUCGCGAUCGAAGAGCCAGCUAGCCCUCAGCUGAAGAUCAGGUCAGGAAUGACAACCACCUAGCUAUAAAUCCAUCUCAACCGCCUCCUUCUAAAACCCAGCGAGUAUACAUGAUAUAUAGAGCCUAGUUCGAUAAUAGCUACUUGCUCGAGAGUGCUCAACCCAGAAGCAAGGCAUUGUGAUGGUCAUCCCUUCUCGAGAGAGCACAGAAGCGAGUUUCUUGUACAUAUAUAUCCGUCAGUAAGCGAAAUGGUUGUAGGGCUUCUCUCCUUCGGCAGUUUGGAUACAUAUGUUACGCGUGUAUAUACGCAUAUUGCGUUUGGAAGAAUACUGAGACUGCCAAAGGAGAGUUGCCCUCUAACUGCUUCGGCUUAAUACAAUCUACAUGAUACCGAUCUCAUCAACGCUGUGACGAGAGACUUUUUGGCUAGGUCAAUUAAUCUCGGACUUUACUCCCCCAGUCCUUCGCCUGCUGCGAUAAUAUCAGUGCCACUUAUCUUGCAGCAAAUUCGGUUCAGCACGACCGCAAUAAGCACAUUGCGGUGGACACCACUUCGUCAGUGGGAGGAUUGCACGAGGAGAUCUCCUUGUCCAAUAUAUCUCUACGUCUUCUCAGUUAGCGGACAUCCUCACGAAGAAUGUUUCUGUCUCGACAUUUCAGUCACAUUGUACCAAUCUGUCGGUAUUAGCUCCCCCAAUAAAUUGAGGGGCUCAUUAGAGUAUAUGAUAUGAUAGAAAUGUAAAUAAGGUUAGAAUAUAUCUAAUUCAGGCAAGGAUAUGUAAUUUCCUUUCAUAUUUGUAUCGCAGUAAUGAUACAUAACACAACCACCUACAAUUACAUAGGGUGAGUAUGCCAUUUUCCCAAUUCUGUGUAGAACAUUGAACAAGAAAUUGAGGACACAAGUUCCCUGCA